AACCAGGCCUAUUUUGCAGGGUUGCAUUAGGGCCAAUAGAACAGGAGUCGGGCCAUUUUCAGCCCAACCAAUGUUACAUAUCCUAUUGGGAGACCUUA